CCGUACGGGAGGCAGCAGGUGGGGUAAUAUUGGACAAUGGGCGAAAGCCUGAUCCAGCCAUGCCGCGUGUGUGAAGAAGGCCUUUUGGUUGUAAAGCACUUUAAGCGGGGAGGAGGGCACCUUGGUUAAUACCCAAGAAUGUCGGACGUUACCCGCAGAAUAAGCACCGGCUAACUCUGUGCCAGCAGCCGCGGUAAUACAGAGGGUGCGAGCGUUAAUCGGAAUUACUGGGCGUAAAGCGCGCGUAGGCGGCUUGUUAAGUCGGAUGUGAAAUCCCUGGGCUCAACCUAGGCAUUGCAUUCGAUACUGGCAAGCUAGAGUAUGGGAGAGGAAGGUAGAAUUCCAGGUGUAGCGGUGAAAUGCGUAGAGAUCUGGAGGAAUACCGAUGGCGAAGGCAGCCUUCUGGCCUAAUACUGACGCUGAGGUGCGAAAGCAUGGGGAGCAAACAGGAUUAGAUACCCUGGUAGUCCAUGCGUAACGAUGUCUACUACGUCGUCGGUCCCGUUCGUAGGUCGUAGUGGUCGCG
rnacentral:rRNA from 1 species